GACGAACGCUGGCGGCGUGCUUAACACAUGCAAGUCGAACGGAAAGGCCCUGCUUUUGUGGGGUGCUCGAGUGGCGAACGGGUGAGUAACACGUGAGUAACCUGCCCUUGACUUUGGGAUAACUUCAGGAAACUGGGGCUAAUACCGGAUAGGAGCUCCUGCUGCAUGGUGGGGGUUGGAAAGUUUCGGCGGUUGGGGAUGGACUCGCGGCUUAUCAGCUUGUUGGUGGGGUAGUGGCUUACCAAGGCUUUGACGGGUAGCCGGCCUGAGAGGGUGACCGGCCCCAUUGGGACUGAGAUACGGCCCAGACGCCUACGGGAGGCAGCAGUGGGGAAUAUUGCAAAAUGGGCGGAAGCCUGAUGCAGCAACGCCGCGUGCGGGAUGACGGCCUUCGGGUUGUAAACCGCUUUCGCCUGUGACGAAGCGUGAGUGACGGUAAUGGGUAAAGAAGCACCGGCUAACUACGUG
rnacentral:rRNA from 1 species